GGGGCCCCCACUGGGAAGUUCAACUGAAAAGUGGGACACUGAGGAAAAAGGAGCUGUAAAAAGGAGUAAAAAAAAAAAACGAUUGUGUCAGGUAGGUGCAGCAUGGCCUCGGCUCAGAAGUUCAUUGUUGCCUUUUUACUGUUUUAUGACUUUGUGACUCAGCAAACCUGUUUUUCGCCUUUCUUUGACUUUUCUCUUUUUUUUGUGUGUGUGUUGAAACACCGGUUCCGCAUUGAGGCACUUCACUGUCCCUUCACGGCCAAUUCCUGCAACCUGUUGAUCGGAACAGUUAUUCGCGUGGAGCGACAGUAAAGUGUGUUCACUGAAAUGUUGGCAUUGGAAUAUUGCCCAGAUCUGAGGUCUGCCACUGUGGACCGGCUCCAUUACAAAGGUCAGACGUAAAUAGUUCCUUUCAAUGAGAUGGGGCUUAAUGUCUGUCUGCCUGUUUGACUGAUGAGAUCUCCAAGCGUCUGACUUAAUUACAGCGUAACAAGCUUGCCUCUCCCUCUACCUCUCUGCUUACACUAUGUAUGUGUCACCCGCCCACCACAUGCGUGUCCUCUGUCCGUCUAUCGGUGGCCAUCAGUCUGUGUGCCUCUCCAGACGCGUAAUGUUGGUGGUAAAAGGAGGCCGGAGCCGCUCAAACAUUCCUCUCAUUGUUCAGAGGCCGCGUGAGUCUGCGAGCUCUCAAACCUCCAUGAAAGGAAGGGAAUCCAGCGGCUGCCGGAGCUAACCUGGUUUCACCAAACGGGCCAGGGCCCGGCUGUUUCCGUCGUCCCCCACCUCGUCCCGUCCCGGUUCUCCUCUGGGACUGAGGGAGAUCGACGUGAUGCCCGAAAGCACAGAUUGAAAGACGAGAAUGAGUCGGUCCAACCGAGAGGAUCUGCUGCGUUGCUCCGUCCGCGACCAAGCGUGACUUCUUGAUUACCUCGGUGACAAAAGAUGGGGGCAAGAGGAGGGGCGGAGGUGUGAGUGGGGAGGGGGGUGCAUUAUCGCUGUCCUGCCUUUUACGUGGGAGAUCAUUCCAUCGGAGCGCCUACCAUGGCGGUCGGAAUGGAUGAAUGGAGGCAGGGACAGGUUGGGGAGAGGGGGAGGAGAAGGAGCUGAAGGAGGAGAGAUGGUGGGGAUCCAGAGGCCUUUAGCGGGUGGGUGUGCCCAGCAGCAAAGACUCAGGAAACCGUGGCGUAGUGGAAUAAAAGUGUGCGCGCGCGUGUGUGUAAUUUCAGUUUGUGCAUGUGUGGUUCCGUGGCAGCAGGGCUGGUGGCGGUGAGGGUGUUUGGCAACAGAUCGGGCCGCGGAUAGGGUUACACUCGUCGGGCUACAGGGAGCCGACAACGGGCUCGGGCUGGCUUCUCCACUGCCGAGGGCGAGCUUUACAACUUUGAGCUUUUCUGUCUUUUUUGCGUUUUUUUCAGGGGUUUUGGGUUUUUUUUUUACAUGUUAAGACAGUAACGUGGCUUGUUGUGUUGCUUCGAGGCCGAGCGAACAAAACGCUGCCCUUUCAGACUGAGGACAACUGCAACAGAGGGGGCCCGUAGUAGAGCGAGAGCCCUUGUUUGAAUGUCAGUGAAUGUCACGGCCGCAGCAGUAAUGAGGCCCUCACACGCAAGGAGCAAUCUUAUAACCGCAUGCGCACGCAUACCCAGACACGCGGUCUGUCUGGAAGAGCGCCAGGGUGUGGCGCUGUAAGGUGUGUGAGUUCAGGUUUAAGGUGACACGAUGUCUUCUCUCGUUUCCCUGCAGUUUUUUUUUUUUUUUUUUUUGACGGAUCUGCCGAUUUUAAAGGCUGAAGACGACGUCUUGAAAGGGUUAUUAAAGCUGCAGAGGAAAUGCUGCCCCACCUUCUGCUGUGUCAGAGGUGUAAUGGAUACAACGGCGAUCGCGAAAAGCAAAUCAUGGCGUAUUUACGCUUUAAGAAGGGGAAUCAGACGUUAUUAUAACCCUUGUGCUCUGAUGUUGGCAUAAUGUCGUGAACCCUUUAGACUUCGAUAGGAUUGAUUUCGCAUGUGGCUGCGGAUGGAAACACGCCGCUCUCCGUAAAAUGAUCUGAUGCAGGGGAACAAUUACAAUUACAUAUGCUUCGGCUUGAUGGCUAACCAUUAAUGAAGUACACAAAAGCCGCAUACAGUCGGCCUCUGGGUCACCCCACCCACUGUUUGCUCUGCGCCCGGCAGCCCGGAGGUGUGAAUGAUGUCAGAUCGAUGCGUUUCUCUUCUAUUCCUGGUGGAGAGACGGGGUGAGAAGGCGGUUAACUCGCAUCCUAUGUUCGCUCGCCGUGUUUGUCCAUCGAUAGUGAGCGUUUUUUGUGCAAGAAAGGCGGAUUGCGUUGCCCGUGAGGAUGUGUGCAUUUCUUAAGGUGUGUGUGUGUGUGUGUAUGCACACAAGGGCAUAGGGAAAGAGAAGAUAUGUGUUGAAACAACACGGGGUUGAGAUCCAGCUGUCUCAACAGAGGCUUUUCCACUUAACCGCGUGUCCUUGUGUAAACGGCAACGUCCAUUCGGCGCUCCGGCUGAAGGGGAGAGGGACGGUUCGUGAAAACCAGCCAGUGGCCACGUCGACAACUCGGGGCCUCCGAGCGCCGCGUGCGCAAAUAUAAACUUAGCACAACAAGCGCAGAGCACACCCUAAACACCAUCAAAGCAGCCGCACGCAGAGGCCCGCGGGCCACGAAGAUACGCUCUGCAAACAUCCUGACUCCAUCUGCCGCCGAUCGUCACCCGGUGACACCCGUUUUCCUAUCCCGCGCCUCCGUCAGGACGAAACACGUUGGCACAAUUAUGAGCCGCCGACGGGUCGCAGCCCGCGGGGCAGAAACGUAUGAUUAUUCCAAACCAUAAUAAACAUCCAAACCGGAGAGGAGCCUGACAACGGGGGUUUGCCGGGCUCCUUCCACCGUAGCGCUCGACGAAGAGCGAGGCGGGCCAGAAAUGCACGAAAGGGAGACGCGCCGAGGCCCUCGCGGGCGAGCGUUUUGAGGUGAGGUGUUGGACGGCGUGCGUCAACCAGAGCGCCAUCAUUACAGGGGGAGGGAAGGAAUGAGCUCAUGGACAUUAACGGCUGCGGGUUCGGACGGGGAGGGUGGGGGUGGUGGGGAGGGAGAGAAACCGAUGGAAAAGAUGAAAAGGCAGCGAAAAUAACACACGAGAGGAGCCACUGGCAGAUGAAAGGACGGCGGGAUGGAGAGUUUUAUGUUGAUGGAGGAGAGGAGUUUAAAAAAGGAGUUAGCGGACUGUCUUUGAUGGGCGCCCGGGACCUCAAAUGACUUUCUCCUUCGAGACGGCACGUUUAAUCGUAAACAUGUGGAGAUUACAAUGAGAACACAAAAUGUCCAUAGAGGAUUCUUUAGUUUUCCGUGGAUGGAGCGACAUGCAAUACCUUUCAUAACCUGGCCGUCAAGUUACGCUAAUCUAGCAGUAAUCCAUAAAAAUGCUUCUUCUACUGUAAUCUGAGUGUAAAGAGUUUACAAAAUUCUACAAGAGAGCAGAAACUGUUUAUUUCUUCCCAGGAGCAACAAAAUCACAGUGUGUUCUAAUUUGGAGUUAUUGGUGGAUUGGAACAUAGUCUGGGGGCGAGGGAACAUUGGCCCGGAGGAGACUAGAACGCCUCUAAACGGAGGUUCAGCACCGAGUCAAAGGCUUGCAGCUUAAAGAUUGGAACACCGCUUUGCUUUGGCUGAGUGGUAUUGAAAAUGCUCCACUUUCUUGGAGAGACUUUUGUACUGUUUAGGGAGACUCUCAAAAUGCCUGUAAACUGUAGUGAUAGCACCUCAGUUCCCCCCCUCUCUCCCUCAGUUAGACUCCGUAGUUUCCUAAAGGUGUCCCACUGACUCAUACUUUGCACACGGGCGACUGUUCAUGCUGCUGAAAGUAAAGAGACUUGAAGAGGCCGUGAAAAAGAAAAAUCCACUGGGGAUCUCAAUACGUCGUGUCCAGACAGGUACAUUUCAACAAAAGGGAAUCCAGAGUAUUAAGCGGCGCUCCAGGGGCGAUGCGUCUGGCGUGCCUGUUGAUAUCGGGUAUCAUUCGGCAGGGUCGGUCUGAAGUAGCACAUGAACACAGCAGUGUUCUUUAAUCGUCGGGAUGAAAAUCCCUGACAAUUUCUGAAGAGAGGUAGCGGUAGCUCAGCAGCCGCCGUCCCUUUUCUUUCUCUCCACAGAAGGGGCACCGAUAAAGGGGCCUGCAAGUGGAACGGAGCGGGCGCCAGCGUCUUUGGAGGGAGCGCCACUCCACUGGCCACUUCCUGCUAGCCUAAUUCUCCAUUCUGUCAUUGAAAAGCUAUUUUCAUAAGAGGCCACGGGAAGUCUGGGAGUUGACCAACGCACAUGCAGCACACACAGUGCUGAGAGAGCGCAAUGACUCCGACCUGUGAAUGCAUGUGGCGAGCACAUCGGACCGCUGUGAUAAUUCACUCUUUCCCACAAAGGUUUUAGAUGAGCGGUAGGGCCUCAAACUUAGAGGUAACAAUGACGGAGGGGGGCCGGUUAUGUUAUUUGUUUAAUGCAUCUUUUACAAGUCCUCCUGAAACUGAUAGUCGUCUCUGAUGGCCAGGGGAAUUCCUGGCAGAGUGAUUUUUGAGACUACCGCACUGAAUCACAUUGCCAGGGAUUUCCAAUGGCUGACAUGAAGAACGCAACCUCUUUCUCGGAAACACAGUCGAAUUUGAUAACUGACGCGGCCAUGUUUUUUCCUCCAUUUGCAUAUGCAAACAAAGCCGCUUAGCUCUCUGUCACGAACAGACGCUGGGAUGGCCCGGCUGUGCGGCAGCAGGACUUAACCCACAUGUGAGCAGUGAGUGUCUGCCAUGUUCACAGUGGUUAAGUUCUGCCGCCACAAGGCUGCAGCCUGCGGGGGGUAAAGGUCAGGGAGGAGCCGGACCGCAUCAAGCUGCAUCGACGCCAGAGCUUCAGACGAGAUGAAAUGCACUUUACGAGGACAUCAUCUCGCUGCACACUCUAAAUCUACAACGGUUUAAUGGCUGCAAACAAGCUUUUUAUCUCGAUGUGGAUUUUCAAAUAAAGUGGUGGAUAAAAAAAAAACAAUGUGAAUUCCCAUUUUGUUUUUGCAGACUAAGUGGCUGAAUUUGGAUAGAAACUUGGCUGAAUAGAGCAGCUCAAAUCCAGCUCACAUGUAAAAAUGUUGUGUGUUGCGAUUUAGUCGUGAAAGCGUAAGAAUGACGCAUUGUGGUCAAGGGGGCCGUGCGGAAGCAGUUACCACUGACCAUGAGCCAAAAACAAAAAGCUGCUAAUCUGUUUCAUGGACUGAAGUUGUGCAGCUUCAGUGUUGUCCGUGUCUGCUAAAUGUCAGCCGUCUCAUUAGCGUCAAAGACCUCUCCUGUUGCUGUCGGGAGAGCGACGUCCCAGCUCAUGUUCUGAUUUGUACCGUGUGUGUGUGUGUGUGUGUGUAGCGUUGUGUGACUUUAUAUUGAGUUCAUGCUCCACCUGUGGAUUUCUGCAUGAGCAUCAGUGUGUUUAUGUCCAUGCGUGUGCAUAGAGCACCCCCCCCCCCCCCCCUCAUGGGUCAGUCUCCUGUGCCUGCUGUGCUGAUAAUCAGUGUGUGACGUUGGCUGGCUCAGUUCAGCAGGAACAGAGGACCGGUCCCCUUUCCACACAAACGCACGCAGGCACACACACACACACACACACACGCUGAAUGUGUAUAUUGCUUUACAGUCUGGAUGUGUUGAUGGAUUGGAUGUUGAUGGAUUGGAUAAAUGAAUGGAUUUCGAAAUGACUGACAAUCAGGAAACUCCCUUUCAGUCGUUUGUCCCACUGAAUUCCUACAGUUGCAACACAUUUUCCUAAACAGAUGUACACACUCCCAUUCUGUAAUAUUUACUUGGAUUUGUGCCUGGCCUUUGAUGCAAACCACUACAAUCAAAAUCAAUGUGAAAGUGAUGUUGAAAUGGAUAUCUUGCUUGUAAUAAAGUACAUAUUGAUGAGGUCUGAUUCAGCAGUUGUUUGUGUUUUUGUAUGUAUUCGGUAAUUAUUUGUCAUUUCUUAAAUAAUAUUUUGUUAUUGGUACCAUAUUUGUAAAAAAAAAAAAAUACAAGACGAACAAGACUCUUUCUUCAAAUGUGUCUUUGCUUUACAAACAACAAAAUAUGAUGGCUGGUUGAUAUGGUGUGCAUUCAAUUUGAUUCCGAAUUAAACAGAUUUGAUAAAGAAGUAUCUUCUUUGUGUUUUGUAUAUUUUCAAACAUGAAUGAAUCUAAAAAGAGCAAUAACUUGUACUCUGUGGCUUCCUCAAAUGCUGCUUUCAUCCAUGACCAAAACUACACCAAUAAACUUCCCUGACAAAUAGUUCCUCCUCGCAGCUCGUGUUCAUACGUUGACUUUUGUCUGAGGCUGGAACUAAAGGCUAAAUGCUCUCAUGGCGUCUGGAUGCUCGUUUUGACUGAACGUUUUGCAAGGCAAAGGACUUUUACCAAUUGUAUAGAUUAAAAACUUUCACAUUGAUUUUAGUAAAUACAUUUUUUAGUACUUAUAUUACAAGAUUGACUACAAAUAUAACCUACAAUGUAUAAUAUGUGUUUGCUUCUUAUUUUAGCUUCAUCUUUUAGCGGUACUAUAACACAUUGCAACUAUUUAUUCAGUCUCAUACUACCCUUAUAUGCACUCCACUUAAUGCAUAUUAAAUCAUUUAAACCAGAAAUCUGCCAGCAACAUAACAUGUGCA
ensembl:lncRNA